rnacentral:tmRNA from 2 species
GGGGGUGCCAUGGUUUCGACAAGGCAAUCUUAGGUUUUGUGGGCGUGUCCAGGUUGAUCUCCAGGCCCUGGUCAAAAGGAGAUCAAAUGUAUGUGCAGACUCUUAUGAGUCAUAUGCUCUAGCCGCCUAGUGCGUUUCUAGACAUUGAGGGGGUAGCCCCGAGAAACAGAAGCUACCAAAGCUGUGGAGGCAUCAGUCUAACUUGCCUCUGAGGAUCAGCCGGGCCACCUCAUAAAAAAAGCACCGGGGUUCCCAAAGUGCACGCAACUUCGGUGGCCUUGUUUGCUGGCGAUAAAUGCAAACUACACACGUAGUCCGCUCUACCAAUGAUGUUUUGGACGUGGGUUCGAUUCCCACCACCUCCACCA